rnacentral:tRNA from 1 species
GGUAAGAUGGCCGAGAAGACGACAGAUUGUAGCUCUGUACAGGUGGGUAAAGCCCCACUCUUAUCA